rnacentral:rRNA from 1 species
GAGUUUGAUCGUGGCUCAGAUUGAACGCUGGCGGCAGGCCUAACACAUGCAAGUCGAGCGGAUGAGAGGAGCUUGCUCCUUGAUUCAGCGGCGGACGGGUGAGUAAUGCCUAGGAAUCUGCCUGAUAGUGGGGGACAACGUUUCGAAAGGAACGCUAAUACCGCAUACGUCCUACGGGAGAAAGCAGGGGACCUUCGGGCCUUGCGCUAUCAGAUGAGCCUAGGUCGGAUUAGCUAGUAGGUGAGGUAAUGGCCCACCAAGGCGACGACGGGUAGCUGGUCUGAGAGGAUGGCCAGCCACAUUGGGACUGCGACACGGCCCAGACUCCUACGGGAGGCAGCAGUGGGGAAUAUUGCGCAAUGGACGAAAGUCUGACGCAGCGACGCCGCGUGUGGGAUGAAGCUCUUCGGGGUGUAAACCACUGUUGCCCGGGACGAAAUGCCCUUUCGAGGGAAUUGACGGUACCGGGUGAGGAAGCACCGGCUAACUCUGUGCCAGCAGCAGCC